UUGAGACUCCAUUUUAGUUCAGUUCAGUUUAUUCUUUGUCCCAAAGCUCAAUUUGUAUGCAGCAGGAAUAUGGAAGAAUAUACAACACAAACCACACAACAGUUAACAGAAGUGUGACCAGAACAAAGCAGAGCAGGAGGAGGGAAACUGAAGGCUGAGGCAGGAUCAGAAGAUGAGGGGUUUGGAUAGGAUUCUUCUGCAAGAAUUCAGCAAUGAACCUGUACACUCAGACACAAACGAAAGAGAUCUGUGUCUGAAUCCACUGUCGUCACGGAGUUAAAGGCAGUGAAUUCCAUUAAAAUGGUGGAGGAGGUGGAGAUUUGAGAAGCGCUAUGCAUGGGAGGUCCGGUCCAGAGAGGGAUAUUGGAUCACAUUGAUUCUUCAGAUCCCAGAGUCUUCCAGGGGUUACAGAUUCCCAGUUCAGUGGGCUGGGUGGCGCUGCUACAGGAUCAAGACUCAGAACUUAUAACGGAUUGCCCUGGAUUCCUUCUUCAUGGUGGUAGGGACAAGAGUUGAGAAUUAGCACUAGCUAUAAACUCUAUAUGCUGCGCAUCAGUUACGGGCUUUGUAUUGUAACUAUGUUUGCUUGUAUGGUCCCUGUUAAAUAAACAAAUACAUAAAUAAAAUAGGACAAACAGAAACCAAACUUAUAUGGGCCCCAAC